GAUGAACGCUAGCGGCAGGCUUAAUACAUGCAAGUCGAGGGGUAGCAAGAUUGUAGCAAUGCAAUUGUUGACGACCGGCAAACGGGUGCGGAACACGUACACAACCUUCCUACAAGUGGGGAAUAGCCCAGAGAAAUUUGGAUUAAUAUUCCGUAACAUAGCGAUGUGGCAUCACAUUGCUAUUAUAGCUUCGGCGCUUGUUGAUGGGUGUGCGGCUGAUUAGAUAGUUGGCGGGGUAACGGCCCACCAAGUCUACGAUCAGUAGCUGAUGUGAGAGCAUGAUCAGCCACACGGGCACUGAGACACGGGCCCGACUCCUACGGGAGGCAGCAGUAAGGAAUAUUGGACAAUGGACGCAAGUCUGAUCCAGCCAUGCCGCGUGAAGGAUUAAGGUCCUCUGGAUUGUAAACUUCUUUUAUAAGGGACGAAAAAAGGUCUUUCUAGAUCGUCUGACGGUACCUUAUGAAUAAGCACCGGCUAACUCCGUGCCAGCAGCCGCCGUAAUAC
rnacentral:rRNA from 1 species